rnacentral:lncRNA from 1 species
GGCAAUAUUUUCAUCAUUCAUAGUGCCGCUGAAUGAUUCUGGAAUUGCACGUUUCAUGAUCAUUAGACUCAUGCGAUUUGAGCGUUCCCACUUCUCCAUCUCCUUCUUUUCAUCAGAAGAAGAUGUAUCCUCAAGAGAAGCAGGUUGCUCAAUCCGAAGUGCAAGGUCUAGAUCCAUACAACUGAGAACGAUAAUAAUGUUCUCUUUCCAUUCCUUAAAGUUUGUGCCGUUAAGCACAGGGAUGCUGUUUGUAUUUGCAGAUAUCGAAGCAGCUGAAGAAUUCACU